rnacentral:rRNA from 1 species
GGGUUGUGAGGUUAAGCGACUAAGCGUACACGGUGGAUGCCCUGGCAGUCAGAGGCGAUGAAGGGCGUGCUAAUCUGCGAUAAGCGCCGGUAAGGUGAUAUGAACCGUUAUAACCGGCGAUACCCGAAUGGGGAAACCCAGUGUGACUCGUCACACUAUCAUUAACUGAAUCCAUAGGUUAAUGAGGCGAACCGGGGGAACUGAAACAUCUAAGUACCCCGAGGAAAAGAAAUCAACCGAGAUUCCCCCAGUAGCGGCGAGCGAACGGGGAGGAGCCCAGAGCCUGAAUCAGCAUGUGUGUUAGUGGAAGCGUCUGGAAAGGCGCGCGAUACAGGGUGACAGCCCCGUACACAAAAGCGCAUGUGCUGUGAGCUCGAUGAGUAGGGCGGGACACGUGGUAUCCUGUCUGAAUAUGGGGGGACCAUCCUCCAAGGCUAAAUACUCCUGACUGA